rnacentral:misc_RNA from 1 species
GUGAGUCAUCGAAUCUUUGAACGCACAUUGCACCUUCUGGUAUUCCAGAGGGUAUGCCUGUUCGAGCGUCAUUUCAACCCUCAAGCUCAGCUUGGUAUUGGGUGUCACCUGGCAAUGGUGCACCUUAAAAUCAGUGGCAGUGCCAUCUGGCUUCAAGUGUAGUAGUAAAAAUCUCGCUUUGGAAGUUUGGAUAUGUGCUUGCCAUCAACCACUACUUAUCAAAGGUUGACCUCGGAUCAGGUAGGGAUACCCGCUGAACUUAAGCAUAUCAAUAAGCGGAGGA